rnacentral:rRNA from 1 species
AGAGUUUGAUCCUGGCUCAGGAUGAACGCUAGCUACAGGCUUAACACAUGCAAGUCGAGGGGAAACGACAUCGAAAGCUUGCUUUUGAUGGGCGUCGACCGGCGCACGGGUGAGUAACGCGUAUCCAACCUGCCCACCACUUGGGGAUAACCUUGCGAAAGUAAGACUAAUACCCAAUGAUAUCUCUAGAAGACAUCUGAAAGAGAUUAAAGAUUUAUCGGUGAUGGAUGGGGAUGCGUCUGAUUAGCUUGUUGGCGGGGUAACGGCCCACCAAGGCAACGAUCAGCAGGGGUUCUGAGAGGAAGGUCCCCCACAUUGGAACUGAGACACGGUCCAAACUCCUACGGGAGGCAGCAGUGAGGAAUAUUGGUCAAUGGGCGAGAGCCUGAACCAGCCAAGUAGCGUGCAGGAAGACGGCCCUAUGGGUUGUAAACUGCUUUUAUAAGGGAAAAAAGUGAGUCUCGUGAGACUUUUUGCAUGUACCUUAUGAAUAAGGACCGGCUAAUUCCGUGCCAGCAGCCGCGGUAAUACGGAAGGUCCGGGCGUUAUCCGGAUAUAUUGGGUUUAAAGGGAGCGUAGGCCGGAGAUUAAGCGUGUUGUGAAAUGUAGACGCUCAACGUCUGCACUGCAGCGCGAACUGGUUUCCUUGAGUACGCACAAAGUGGGCGGAAUUCGUGGUGUAGCGGUGAAAUGCUUAGAUAUCACGAAGAACUCCGAUUGCGAAGGCAGCUCACUGGAGCGCAACUGACGCUGAAGCUCGAAAGUGCGGGUAUCGAACAGGAUUAGAUACCCUGGUAGUCCGCACGGUAAACGAUGGAUGCCCGCUGUUGGUCUGAACAGGUCAGCGGCCAAGCGAAAGCAUUAAGCAUCCCACCUGGGGAGUACGCCGGCAACGGUGAAACUCAAAGGAAUUGACGGGGGCCCGCACAAGCGGAGGAACAUGUGGUUUAAUUCGAUGAUACGCGAGGAACCUUACCCGGGCUUGAAUUGCAGAGGAAGGAUUUGGAGACAAUGACGCCCUUCGGGGUCUCUGUGAAGGUGCUGCAUGGUUGUCGUCAGCUCGUGCCGUGAGGUGUCGGCUUAAGUGCCAUAACGAGCGCAACCCCUCUCCUUAGUUGCCAUCAGGUUAAGCUGGGCACUCUGGGGACACUGCCACCGUAAGGUGUGAGGAAGGUGGGGAUGGCGUCAAAUCAGCACGGCCCUUACGUCCGGGGCUACACACGUGUUACAAUGGCAGGUACAGAGAGACGGU